UUGAUGAAUUAUAUCUUGAUUAGAUUGUUAAUUAAUUUGAGUUGACCCUUGUCAUUAAGGUUGAUCAGUGUGACUGAUCUAGGUGCUUGUUUGAUCGGCAUGACCCUAAUUCGAUUAAGUGACUUGGUGAAGUGAGUGAAAGGAUUGUGGUUUACUGAUUGAUCUUUUAUUCUCUCUUCUCUAAAUUAAUUAAAUCUUCUAAAUUAUUAGAUCU
rnacentral:lncRNA from 1 species